rnacentral:rRNA from 1 species
AGAGUUUGAUCCUGGCUCAGAACGAACGCUGGCGGCGUGCUUUACACAUGCAAGUCUGACGAGAAACUCCCCUUCGGGGGGGAAGUAAAGUGGCGAACGGGUGAGUAACACGUGAGUAACCUGCCCUUGGGCUUGGGAUAACAUCCCGAAAGGGGCGCUAAUACCGAAUUAUAUCCGAGAAGCUGCGGCUUUUCGGAUCAAAGGGGGCCUCUUAACAAUGCUCCCGCCCAGGGAGGGGCUCGCGGCUCAUUAGCUUGUUGGUGAGGUAAUGGCUCACCAAGGCGAUGAUGGGUAGCCGGCCUGAGAGGGUGAUCGGCCACACUGGCACUGAGACACGGGCCAGACUCCUACGGGAGGCAGCAGUGGGGAAUCUUGCACAAUGGGCGAAAGCCUGAUGCAGCAACGCCGCGUGGGUGAUGAAGUUCUUCGGAGCGUAAAACCCUGUCAGGAGGGAAGAAACAGUGGGGGUCGAAUAGGCCUUCACCUUGACGGUACCUCCAGAGGAAGCCCCGGCUAACUCCGUGCCAGCAGCCGCGGUAAUACGGAGGGGGCAAGCGUUGUUCGGAAUCACUGGGCGUAAAGGGCGUGUAGGCGGUUUGGUUAGUCGGUCGUGUAAUCCCUCGGCUCAACCGAGGAACUGCGAUCGAUACUGCCAGACUAGAGUGCGGGAGAGGAGAGUGGAAUUCCCAGUGUAGCGGUGAAAUGCGUAGAUAUUGGGAGGAACACCAGUGGCGAAGGCGGCUCUCUGGACCGCAACUGACGCUGAUGCGCGAAAGCGUGGGGAGCAAACGGGAUUAGAUACCCCGGUAGUCCACGCCGUAAACGAUGGGCACUAGGUGUAGAGGGCAUCGACCCCUUCUGUGCCGCAGCUAACGCAUUAAGUGCCCCGCCUGGGAAGUACGUUCGCAAGAAUAAAACUCAAAGGAAUUGACGGGGGCCCGCACAAGCGGUGGAGCAUGUGGUUUAAUUCGAUGCAACGCGAAGAACCUUACCGGGGCUUGACAUGUAGGUGUUAGGGAGCCGAAAGGUGACCGACCCUUCGGGGAGCCUUCACAGGUGCUGCAUGGCUGUCGUCAGCUCGUGUCGUGAGAUGUUGGGUUAAGUCCCGCAACGAGCGCAACCCCUACCCUUAGUUGCCAACAGCAAGGCUGGGAACUCUAAGGGAACUGCCGGUGAUAAGCCGGAGGAAGGUGGGGAUGACGUCAAGUCCUCAUGGCCCUUACGUCCCGGGCUACACACGUGCUACAAUGGCAGGUACAAAGGGCCGCAAUACCGCGAGGUGGAGCUAAUCCCAAAAAGCCUGUCACAGUUCGGAUUGGAGUCUGCAACUCGACUUCAUGAAGUUGGAAUCGCUAGUAAUCGCGUAUCAGCAUGACGCGGUGAAUACGUUCCCGGGCCUUGUACACACCGCCCGUCACACCAUGAGAGUUGGAUGUACUAGAAGCCGCUGAGCUAACCCUUCGGGGAG